rnacentral:rRNA from 1 species
CAGCAGCCACGGUAAUACGUAGGGUGCAAGCGUUAAUCGGAAUUACUGGGCGUAAAGCGUGCGCAGGCGGUUUGUUAAGACAGAUGUGAAAUCCCCGGACUCAACCUGGGAACUGCAUUUGUGACUGGCAAGCUAGAGUGUGGCAGAGGGGGGUGGAAUUCCGCGUGUAGCAGUGAAAUGCGUAGAUAUGCGGAGGAACACCGAUGGCGAAGGCAGCCCCCUGGGCCAACACUGACGCUCAUGCACGAAAGCGUGGGGAGCAAACAGGAUUAGAUACCCCUGUAGUCCCUGUCUCUUAUAC